UCGUUUAUGUCGGGAAACAAAAACUCCGACAAGCAAAUUGGAGAAGGGGUUUAGGCUGUAUGCUUCGAACUACAUUCACAGCUACGAAGAUCAAGCUUUGAUUCAUCAGCCAAGGGAUGAAAAAAGAAAGAGUUAAUCUAUGGGCUGGAGCAGCUGUCUCUGAGAGGAAAAGAAAAAAACCUCAGUCACCUCCCUUUUACCUGUAUUGUGACUUGUGCCACUACGCAACGGUUUCUCUACCGGAUGGCGUCGUAACUAAUCCCUGGCACUCAGCUGACAGGUUUGUUUAGUUUCCUCUUUGGGUGCAGUUCAAUAACUGCACCAACUUCCUGUAAGACAACCUGAUGUGUGUGGAUAUCCAAUGCCCUAAUGUGUUCUCUGUGCUCUCUUUUUAGAGUAGUGUUCUUGUCCGGGCUGUAUCUUUGGGAGGCGCGGUUUGGUGGUUUGCCGUGUACUUGCAUGUAGAUAAGUAGGGUGUUACCUGCUCAAUUCAUACAUUUUUACAAUUGUUUAUUAAUGGUAUUUUGUUCU
ensembl:lncRNA